rnacentral:tRNA from 1 species
CGGGCAGUAGCUCAGUGGUAGAGUCCCCGCUUUGUACGCGGGAAGAAAUGGGCUCGAUUCCCAGCUGCUUAC